UACGUAGGGGGCGAGCGUCGUCCGGAUUUAUUGGGCGUAAAGAGCGCGUAGGUGGCUCGACAAGUCGGAUGUGAAAACUCCAGGCUCAACCUGGAGACGCCACUCGAUACUGUCGUGGCUAGAGUUCGGUAGGGGAUCACGGAAUUCCUGGUGUAGCGGUGAAAUGCGGAGAUAUCAGGAGGAACACCGAUGGCGAAGGCAGUGAUCUGGGCCGAUACUGACACUGAGGCGCGAAAGCGUGGGUAGCGAACAGG
rnacentral:rRNA from 1 species